rnacentral:lncRNA from 1 species
GGGACCCUUGGGAUGGGAACAGAGCUUGGAAUGGGGACAGGGACCUCUGGAAUGUGGGAAGAGACUCCUGGGAAUGGGGACAGGGACCCUCUGGAUUGUGGGCAGGGACCCCCUGGAAUGGGAAAAGGGACCCCUGGAAUGGGAACAGACCUUGGAAUGGGGACAGGGACCCUCUGGAUUGGGAACAGGGACCCCCUGGAAUGGGAAAAGGGAUCCCUGGAAUGGGAUCAGCCCUUGGAAUAUGAACAGGGACCCCCUGGAAUGGGAACAACCUCGGGAAUGGGAACAGGAACCCCUUGGGAUGGGAACAGGGACCCCCUGGAAUGGGAUCAGCCCUUGGAAUGGGAACAGGGACCCCCUGGAAUGGGAACAACCUUGGGAAUGGGAACAGGGACCCUCUGGAAUGGGAAAAGGGAUCCCUGGAAUGGGAUCAGCCCUUGGAAUAUGAACAGGGACCCCCUGGAAUGGGAACAACCUCGGGAAUGGGAACAGGAACCCCUUGGGAUGGGAACAGGGACCCCCUGGAAUGGGAUCAGCCCUUGGAAUGGGAACAGGGACCCCCUGGAAUGGGAACAACCUUGGGAAUGGGAACAGGGACCCUCUGGAAUGGGAAAAGGGAUCCCCCCUGGAACGACUCGGGUGGGAGGGGGGUCUACUUGGGGUG